AGUAGUUUGACUCCGGCUCGAGGACGACGCUGGCGGCGUGCUUAACACAUGCAAGUCGAACGGUAAGGCCCUUCGGGGUACACGAGUGGCGAACGGGUGAGUAACACGUGGGUGAUCUGCCCUGCACUUCGGGAUAAGCCUGGGAAACUGGGUCUAAUACCGGAUAGGACCAUGGACUUCACGGUUUGUGGUGGAAAGCUUUUGCGGUGUGGGAUGGGCCCGCGGCCUAUCAGCUUGUUGGUGGGGUAAUGGCCUACCAAGGCGACGACGGGUAGCCGGCCUGAGAGGGUGUCCGGCCACACUGGGACUGAGAUACGGCCCAGACUCCUACGGGAGGCAGCAGUGGGGAAUAUUGCACAAUGGGCGCAAGCCUGAUGCAGCGACGCCGCGUGAGGGAUGACGGCCUUCGGGUUGUAAACCUCUUUCAAUAGGGACGAAGCGCAAGUGACGGUACCUAUAGAAGAAGCACCGGCCAACUACGUG
rnacentral:rRNA from 1 species